CCCCUUAGAGUUUGAUCAUGGCUCAGGAUGAACGCUAGCGGCAGGCUUAACACAUGCAAGUCGAGGGGUAUAGGAAGCUUGCUUCCUAGAGACCGGCGCACGGGUGCGUAACGCGUAUGCAAUCUACCUUUUACGGGGGGAUAGCCCAAAGAAAUUUGGAUUAAUACCCCAUAGUAUUAUAGAAUGGCAUCUUUUUAUAAUUAAAGUCACAACGGUAAAAGAUGAGCAUGCGUCCCAUUAGCUAGUUGGUAAGGUAACGGCUUACCAAGGCGACGAUGGGUAGGGGUCCUGAGAGGGAGAUCCUCCACACUGGUACUGAGACACGGACCACACUCCUACGGGAGGCAGCAGUGAGGAAUAUUGGUCAAUGGACGCAAGUCUGAACCAGCCAUGCCGCGUGCAGGAUGACGGUCCUAUGGAUUGUAAACUGCUUUUGUACAAGAAAAACCCCUCUUUCGUGAAAGAGAUUGACGGUACUGUAAGAAUAAGGAUCGGCUAACUCCGUGCCAGCAGCCGCGGUAAUACGGAGGAUCCAAGCGUUAUCCGGAAUCAUUGGGUUUAAAGGGUCCGUAGGCGGUUUUGUAAGUCAGUGGUGAAAUCUGGUCGCUCAACGAUCAAACGGCCAUUGAUACUGCAAGACUUGAAUUACUAGGAAGUAACUAGAAUAUGUAGUUGUAGCGGUGAAAUGCUUAUAUAUUACAUGGAAUACCAAUUGCGAGGCAGGUUACUACUAGUGGAUUGACGCUGAUGGACGAAGCGUGGAGAGCGACAGAUUAGAUACCCUGUUAGUCACGCAGUAACGAUGAAUACUAGCUGUAGGAGCAUUUCCGUGCUUAGCGAAGUGAUAGUUCAGCUGGGGAGUACGACGCUAGUUCGACUGAGAUGACGGUCGCAGUCGGAAAACCAGUGGAUUAAUUUCAUAGAAUAACGCGGAGCAAACU
rnacentral:rRNA from 1 species